UUGAUCGUCAAAAACUCUCCGUCUAUUUUAUAGCGUUUUUUUUUACGAAUCCGAUCUACCUUUGGUUAAAACAAGUUUUUCAACAUGUAUUCUGCUUGGAGAAUAGCAGAUCUAAAGAAUGAGUUGAAAAGGAGAGGUGCUUCGCGGCAGGAAAGAAAGCGGAUUUGGUAGCGAGAUUGGAGGCCUACGACAGUAAUUUCAAAGACUUGUGUCUAUUAUUACCAAGUUCAGGGCUAAUUAUUUGUUACAAAGAAGACAUUUUGUAAUUUAAUUAUAUAUACAUUUAAGGAUAUAACUGUUUAUCAACAGAGAUGAACAAUUUAUUAAUAUUAUGGUAAAAAGCCUGAUUGAUUUUUACGAAAAUUGUUUCAAGGAAGCCAUUUUUAAUAAGUAUAUAUAUAGAAAUUAUGAAUAAAACCCAUUUCAGAAUCAUAA